UACAGAGGUCUCAAGCGUUGUUCGGAUUCAUUGGGCGUAAAGGGUGCGUAGGCGGCGCGGUAAGUCGGGUGUGAAAUCUUGGAGCUUAACUCCGAAACUGCAUUCGAUACUGCCGUGCUUGAGGACUGGAGAGGAGACUGGAAUUUACGGUGUAGCGGUGAAAUGCGUAGAUAUCGUAAGGAAGACCAGUGGCGAAGGCGGGUCUCUGGACAGUUCCUGACGCUGAGGCACGAAGGUCAGGGGAGCAAGCGGG
rnacentral:rRNA from 1 species